rnacentral:misc_RNA from 1 species
UAAUUUCAACUCUGAAAUAACUGGUGUUAGGGUUUCUACCUAACAGAAUGCAUAAUUGUUUCACACACGCAUUCCAUGAAUGAAGAAGGAUUUACCAUGGCAACAAAAGAAAUAAGUUUCUUGUCAGAGCUUAUGUUUCAUUGAUAUAGAAUCAGAAGUUCAGUAAAGGAAGUGCCAAAACCUUCUCUAAUCUUGCUGGUGGUAAGUAAUGAUGAGAUGAACUGUAAAUAACAAGGAUUAUUAAGCGUUUCAGUUCUAUAUAUGCCCCAAAUUGAGGCAAAACCAACGAUUUGGCAAGGAAGGGAUUGAGGAAACCCCUUUUUUUUAUUAUUUCAAUGUCUGUUAAAGAAAAACAG